rnacentral:rRNA from 1 species
UACAGAGGUCUCAAGCGUUGUUCGGAUUCAUUGGGCGUAAAGGGCGCGUAGGCUGCGGGGUAAGUCGGGUGUGAAAUCUCAGGGCUCAACCCUGAAAACUGCACUCGAUACUGCUCUGCUUGAGGACUGGAGAGGAGACUGGAAUUCACGGUGUAGCAGUGAAAAUGCGUAGAUAUCGUGAGGAAGACCAGUGGCGAAGGCGGGUCUCUGGACAGUU